rnacentral:rRNA from 1 species
GUGCCAGCCGCCGCGGUAAUACGUAGGGGGCGAGCGUUGUCCGGAAUUAUUGGGCGUAAAGCGCGCGCAGGCGGUCGCGAGAGCCCGGCGUGAAAGCCCCCAGCUCAACUGGGGGAGGCCGUUGGGGACCUUGGGACUAGAGGCCGGUAGGGGCGAGCGGAAUUCCCGGUGUAGUGGUGGAAUGCGUAGAGAUCGGGAGGAACACCGGUGGCGAAGGCGGCUCGCUGGGCCGGACCUGACGCUCAGGCGCGAAAGCGUGGGGAGCGAUCCGGAUUAGAAACCCUCGUAGUCC